rnacentral:rRNA from 1 species
AUUGAACGCUGGCGGAAUGCUUUACACAUGCAAGUCGAGCGGCAGCACGGGGGCAACCCUGGUGGCGAGCGGCGAACGGGUGAGUAAUACAUCGGAACAUGCCCAGUCGUGGGGGAUAACACUUCGAAAGAAGUGCUAAUACCGCAUACUUCCUGAGGGAGAAAGCGGGGGAUCUUCGGACCUCGCGCGAUUGGAGUGGCGGAUGUCAGAUUAGCUAGUUGGUGGGGUAAAGGCCUACCAAGGCAACGAUCUGUAGCUGGUCUGAGAGGAUGAUCAGCCACACUGGGACUGAGACACGGCCCAGACUCCUACGGGAGGCAGCAGUGGGGAAUUUUGGACAAUGGGGGCAACCCUGAUCCAGCCAUUCCGCGUGAGUGAAGAAGGCCUUCGGGUUGUAAAGCUCUUUCGGCAGGAACGAAACGGCGAGCUCUAACAUAGCUUGCUAAUGACGGUACCUGAAGAAGAAGCACCGGCUAACUACGUGCCAGCCGCCGCAGUAACAC